rnacentral:ncRNA from 1 species
UCAGGAAAAAGGCAAAUCAGAUCGAAAGGCUGGGAUGCAAAGCUACGGGCCUUCUGCUAAAUUGCAAUGAUCGCAACGCCGUUAGGGAAGUUGCCAAG